rnacentral:rRNA from 1 species
UACGUAGGGGGCGAGCGUUAUCCGGAUUUACUGGGUGUAAAGGGAGCGUAGACGGUUUUUCAAGUCUGAAGUGAAAGCCCGCGGCUCAACUGCGGAACGGCUUUGGAAACUGAGGGACUAGAGUGCUGGAGGGGCAGGCGGAAUUCCUGGUGUAGCGGUGAAAUGCGUAGAUAUUAGGAAGAACACCAGUGGCGAAGGCGGCUUUCUGGACUGAAACUGACGCUGAGGCACGAAAGCGUGGGGAGCAAACAGG